CGGGGUCUAAUCGGCCCCAACUCUUCACCCCUGUUUACCAAAUCUAUGUUGCUUUGGCGGGUCAGCCGGGCCUCUCGGGGAAGGUAAACCCCUUCUCGCGCCCGCCAAAAGCCCAAGCAAACCCUGUGAUCAGUGUCGUCCGAGUAUACACAAUCGUUAAAACUUUCAACAACGGAUCUCUUGGUUCCGGCGUCGAUGAAGAACGCAGCGAAAUGCGAAAAGUAAUGUGAAUUGCAGAAUUCCGUGAAUCAUCGAAUCUUUGAACGCACAUUGCGCCCUUUGGUAUUCCGAAGGGCAUGCCUGUUCGAGCGUCAUUGCACCCCUCAAGCACUGCUUGGUAUUGGGCCUCGCCCCCGUGGCGGGCCCGGAUUCUAGUGGCGGCCCAGCGAGACUUCAAGCGUAGCAAGAUUAUCACAUCCCGCUUAGCAAGCCUAUCUCGCUGCGUGCCGGCCAGACAACCCCAUCCAUCUUCAAUGAUUGACCUCGGAUCAGGUAGGGAUACCCGCUGAACUUAAGC
rnacentral:sRNA from 1 species